rnacentral:rRNA from 1 species
CCGCCGGCGACCGGCGCACGGGUGAGUAACACGUAUGCAACCUGGCCGUGACAGAUGGAUAACCGGGAGAAAUCCCGCCUAAUACAACAUAAUGCCGGGAGGGGACAUCCCCUGCCGGCCAAAGGGGGCGACCCCGGUCACGGAUGGGCAUGCGGCGCAUUAGGUAGUUGGUGGGGCAACGGCCCACCAAGCCGACGAUGCGUAGGGGUUCUGAGAGGAAGGUCCCCCACAUUGGAACUGGGACACGGUCCAAACUCCUACGGAAGGCAGCAG